rnacentral:misc_RNA from 1 species
GAUGAAGAACGUAGCGAGAUGCGAUAAGUAGUGUGAAUUGCAGAAUUCAGUGAAUCAUCGAAUCUUUGAACGCACAUUGCGCCUCCUGGCAUUCCGGGAGGCAUGCCUGUUCGAGCGUCAUCAAACCCCAUCGUGCAAAUGAAUUAUUUUUUUUGCGCGGAAGUGACGAUUGAGCGAGAAUAACAAAUCCUCUCGCACCUCGUCGAAAUGAUUGCGGGCGGAAUUUGGGAUCGGGUUCCUCGGCGUAGUGUAUCAAUGCAUAUUUAUGCAACUUGCCGCGGAGUUGAGCCUGACCCACGCGUUCUCGCCGUACAAACACCUCAUUACUUUACAAGUUUUUGACCUCGGAUCAGGUAGGGAUACCCGCUGAACUUAAGCAUAUCAAUAAGCGGAGGA